rnacentral:rRNA from 1 species
CCUACGGGCGGCAGCAGUGGGGGAUAUUGCACAAUGGGGGGAACCCUGAUGCAGCGACGCCGCGUGGGUGAAGGAGUGCUUCGGCAUGUAAAGCCCUAUCGGCAGGGAAGAAGCAAGACGGUACCUGACUAAGAAGCCCCUGCUAACUACGUGCCAGCAGCCGCGGUAAUACGUAGGAGGCGAGCGUUAUCCGGAUUCACUGGGUGUAAAGGGAGCGUAGACGGCCAUGCAAGCCAGGGGUGAAAGCCCGGGGCUCAACCCCGGGACUGCCCUUGGAACUGUGCGGCUAGAGUGCGGGAGGGGCAGGCGGAAUGCCUGGUGUAGCGGUGAAAUGCGUAGAUAUCAGGCGGAACACCGGCGGCGAAGGCGGCCUGCUGGACCGCGACUGACGUUGAGGCUCGAAAGCGUGGGGAGCGAACAGGAUUAGAUACCCUUGUAGUC